CCGUGAUCUAUUAUUGAGUCCUCGUGGUUACCCAACGCUGUCACCGAUUCAUCUAAAACACAGAAAAUGGUAGACAUCAGGAUCAAUGAUACCAGACCCUCCAUCUUGCGUUGGAGCUGUUCGCUUUCAUGAUCUUCAGAAAAGCAGGUAUAGUUGUACUGAAAAUCUUCCGUGGACAGAUGUGGAAAAUACAAUGGUAGUGUGCAGAGGUCACCAUUCUUUGUGACAUUUUUUGUUUCCCUUGGCCUAGAACAAUGAGGACAGUCUGGGAGUUUGAUCCAGUGGCCACGGACAAAUCCAGAGGAGCAGUUGUAGGUGCAGUUCAACACUAGAGGUUCUCCAACUGCUGCAUGGAUGACUUCAUGCUGUUUCUGCAGGUCUCGUGGAAGUGAAUCCUGAUCUGGGCCUCAGUGUUGAGCAACACCGUAGCCCAUGUACUGAGGGAACCUACUUUUCAGCAGAACUCUGUGUGGAGUGUCCCUCAGGAUAUUUCUGUCUUGGAUAUGUCUGCACCAAGGAGAUGCCUGGCAGAACAGUACAACCGUUACACAGGAAGAAGUAGCAUUGAAGACUGCAAGCCCUGUCUGCCGGGUUCCAUUGUGAUCCUGCCAUUGGGACACUAGAAGCAUGCCCACCAGGACAGCGUUCUUCAGAGGGACUCCUUCAGUGCCUGCCCUGUCACUUUGGGUCUGUCUGCCCCAAUGGAUACACUCAAAAGUGUGGACCUGGAGAGGAGCCCAACCCGAGCCAGACGGAGUGCACAUACUGCCCAGCAGGUCUUCUUCUCCACUCUGUGCAGUGCCCAGUGUUAUCCGUGUCCAGCAAGUCACCAAGACUGUCUGUUAUGGAAAAAUAAUGAAUAUAUAAGUAGAAGCAUAGAGUCAGGUCAGGAAAAACUCCUGGCCAUGGUCAAAAGUGUAUAGUGGUGCAAUCCUCUGCCUUUCCCUCAAUGAAUUGGUUUCAAUACAGACAUCAGUUUAGAGAUCCAGUUAUUACCUCCAGAUGUGGUCCCUCAUUUCUAAAUGAAGGGGGAACAAAUUCAGAUGGGGUGGAACAGGAUUGAGGCAACAUAGGAUCACUUUGAUCUGGAUUAAAUGUUUAGAAAAACCUCUAUGUGUUAUAGGAACUGUGGUACCUCGCUGGAAUAGGACAGGGGCAGAGCUGGCUCAGCGGUCAAGACAGCCUGAGGAGGGAGCAUCCUCAGGUCAUCUCCACAGUGGGGAUUCAGUAAAGCUACAAUACCAACAUAAAUGUAUAGUUGAUGAAUAUAAAAGUUGUACCAGAGGCUGACUUAAAAAACAAAGUACACAUGUAAAACAUACAGUUGAAAAAUGUACGUUUCCUGCUUCUUGUUUGAGCUGCAGAGAUCUGUAGCGUUUGUGGUUUAUGUUAUCUUAUGUGAUGUUAUGCCAAUGGUAUGUUUUGUGAUGUUAUGUAUACUGUGCUAUGCUAUGUUUUGUUAUGUCAUGUCAUAUAAUCUUAUGGUAUUUAUAUUGACUGUAAGGGAUGAGUAAUUGUGACACUUAAAAUAAUACUCUUCGUCAGGGUUUUACUGUCUGGAAGACAGCUCACGGAGACCGGGCUCCCAAUUCAUGUGCCCACAAGGGUAUUACUGUGAGGAGGGCACAGAGACGCCCCACAGGUCACCUUGCCCUGCUGGCACUGCAGGAGAACAACUGGGCCAGACAAGUAGGACAGCCUGCCGGAGAUGUUCAGAGGGACGAUUCUGUCCUGCAGGCUCUGCAGGCCCUUGCUUGCCCUGUGCCCAUGGGAGGUUCUGCCCAGCUGGCACACUGGAGGAAGUGAUAUGCCCUAGGGGCCCCUUCACUCCUCACCAAGGGGCUUUAAGUAAGGCAUCACUUGCUUCAUCUCUUUAACUAUACUGAAAGAAAAUAUA